rnacentral:lncRNA from 1 species
UCUUACCUAAAUCACAGCAGAACCAGGGAUCAAAUCCCAAAUUAUCUGAUAUAAACCUUUGUGGAGGUCUGGAUAUGCAGACCCUCUACUUUGCAUGCACGUCAGACGCCGUAGGAAAGCAGGAUGAACUCCAAUCCAAUUGGCUUCACAUACACAAUCAAUCGACGGAUGAGAUGUGAUGAUAUGACACCGCACACUAGCAGGUAGGAUGCCCAAGAAGGAUCCACACCC